GGCUAUUGAGAGGGGAAAAGUUGUUGCAUUCCUGAAGAGUUUAAAGAGUAAAUUCUUAUAUGUGACCUAAGAACUAUACAGUAUUGCAGCUUUCCAUGUUAAGUGAACCAUUGAACUGACAUUUUUUUCCCCUUUAAAUUGGGUAAACUGAUCUGAAUAGCAUGCUGCCUGAUCAUAGUUAAUGACAGAGCACUGGGUAAUCGGGCAGUAUGUGCUUGUGUUUCUGUAUGUACUCUGCAGAAUUCCAGUAAGCUUUUGCCCUACUAAAGGGGUUAGUGUAUUUCAGUCCAUUUAAUGAAUUUUUGAAUAAACAAGAUGUGACAGUCAGCUGAUAAGUGUUUACUCCUAGUAUUUUUGUGUGCAUGCUAUUUACACUAAUGAAGCAUCAGUACUUCAUUGCAGUGGAUGCUGGACAUACAAACAAAGAAUAUGUUCUUUGCCUUCAAAGACCUUUCAGUCGUAAUGUAAGAUAAGAAAUGGAUUUUAACAAAAACAAAGACCAGAAAACACUGUACAACACCAGGGUGAUAUAAAUCCUUGUAAUGGCAACAGGGAAAUUAUUGGAGAAGAAAAUACUGGCAGGGCUGUGUUGGAUGGUUGAUUAACAGUGUCAUUUCCAAAAAUCUUGACGUUUCAUUCUGAUGCUUUGUACAAUUACAUUAUAGUAGGGUGUCAAAUGCAGGGUUUUAUAAUUAUUCACAUUAUGGUGUAUGAAAUUUGGAGAAAAACAGAUUUUACCACAUAUAUUUAUUUGUAUUUGUAUGUAUGUGUAUGUAUUUAUUCAUUACAAAUAAAGGGGAGAUCAUGUUUGUGUGUUUGGCCAUAUUUGUUGCUUUUGCUGGCUCUUGGCUUACAUUUACAAAUGCCGCCUUUUAACCUCUCAGGGCUUCUCAUGCUCUUCAUAAGAGUAAAUACAUGCAAAUAUUCUCAUUCUGCAUUAUUUUUCAUUUAGUAACUAAGAUUAUGUUAUGUUUUAGAAAGCUGGGUAAUUGGAUUGAGUAUUUAAUCUUUCAAUUUAAAGGCUUUUUCUGUUGUUGUUCUUUUAAGUAUUUCCUGUAACUAAACAUGAUGUGCCAAGCUAAUGUGCGUAGCUGUAAUAUGGAAGGACAACCUUUUCUAAAAUGCUCUCCUUGGUGUGAGUUACAGUAGGUGAGCACAGAAAAGAAGGUGAAUAUGCUGUUUCUGCUGGUGUGGUGGAUAAAUGUGCAGAUGUUUCAAGCCUGGUAUAAUUUUAACUCUCUCAUUUCCUUCAGUGAAUAAAAUGGAUUGCUUGUGAAUGCAAUUCACAGCAGUGAAUGGGCUGCUAUCAGGAGGGUUCUUCUCGUGAAUUGUUAAAAGGGGAGCGAGAUGUGAUACAGUGGAAGCUGCAGGCUUUGUAUCAGGAGUGCUACUUUUAGAAAGGCUGAGUCAACAAACUCAUAAUUUGCAAGCGAUCAAAGGACACAUGUUUCUAACCUUGGUAUGUUUUUUUUUUUCUUUCAUCCUUCCACAGUUGUCCUCCAGACUGCAAUGUCAUGUUUUGCAGGCUAUGUUUAGUUUCUUCAUUAAAGCUCCAAUGUGAACUACAGGGUUCAAGGUAGACAGACCAAAUGAGUGUCUGUUAUAUACAUAUACUGUCUGUUGUCUACAUAUGCUUCAGGUUUGUCUGGAAUUUCCCUCAGUUCUCUUGUCACUCUAAUAGUUUGCAGUUUGUCUGGAGUACUAAAGCCUAAUCUUUUUGCAUUAAAAUUGGCAGUACAUUAUUUGAUUACAAUAUUGGGACUCAGUGUCCACAAAUCCCUAAAAGCAGUGUUUCGUUCAGUUAUGGGUAGUCAGGCUGCUAGGCAGAUUGCCUCUGCAAAUGGUAGCUUUGCAGUGAAUAAAAGGCUGUCUUGGAUUUGUUUAUUUUUAUUUGUAUAUUUAUUUAUUUUAGAGAUUUGUGGGUUGUCUGUUGGCUUUCAACCAAGGGUGUUCCCUGUUUCUAGUUUUGACUUCCACUAGGGUUCUUUUCAAGCUGCACACUCUGUUGCACUGUAACUAAAUAGAGUACGCCAGGCAACAUCAAGAGUAUUAUGGAUGCUUUCUGGUUGGUGGCCCUCUAGAGGUUUAGCUUCAGGCAUCUCUCAACUCUUAAUCUGAGUUUAUAUUUUUUUCAUAUAUAAUGUUAGUGAAUAUUGUAUAAAGGUGUUUGUGGUUUGUAGUGGAAUUCAAGCCUCAAAAUCCAAAGCUUCAGAAAAUUUGCAUCCUAUGCAGUCUCACAGAAGCCAGUGUGCAGCAAAUCGUAUUUUACAGCAUACGGCUGCUGAAGUGCCAAAGUUGGGAUAACUACUUCAAGGCAGGCACAUCCGUAUUGAAGUAGACACAGUGGUAACUUGGAAAGGUAAGUGACUUAGAGAUUCUAAGUUGUUGAUAAUUUUUCUUGAAUUUUACAUUUUCAAAAAUAUUUAAUAUGAUGUGGAGAAAUAACGAGCUUCACAUCAUGGACACAAAUUCUAUGUAGAUGUCAAUAAUUUCUAGUGCAAAUGUUUUUAUAUUUCAUUGAAUCAUGUGUUUGAAAACAAGAAAUGGAUCAUGUUGACUAAAACCAGAAAUGAAACAGGUUGAUCUAAUACAGUCUUAAAUAAAUUUAAAUGCAAAAAGAAAGAAACCACAUUUUAUAUUUAAAAAAAAAAAAUCAAUAAUGUUUAAUUUUAGAAAUUUUAUUAAACGGUUAGAAUUGAUGCAAUCUGUUUAGAAAUACCACUUCUGUCUUUCCAGUAAGUCAAUCUUUUGUAAUUGCUGUUAUGAUUGAGCUUUUAAUUUUUAGUAGCUCCUGUUACCUUCUGCAAUCCCUUCAAAUUAAAAAAAUAAAUAAAAAAAUUUGGAACUGUAAAUCUAGCAGAAUUGGAUUUUUAUGGAUUUAUGGAUUUAAAAUUAGAAUAUUAGUGGCUGAGUAGCCCUUUUUAUGACAAUAUUUUAAGAUGCUUAUUUUCACCUUGCAUAUCCUGAAAUGCUUCUAUCUACAGUAAAAUUAUAACUUAACAUAAAAAAUGUUGCUUUAUGUUUGCAAAAAAUGGCAAAAAGAAUGGCACAAAGACUGUCUUCAUUAUUGUAAGAGGAAAAAAUGCAUGGGAACUGUAUCAAGGUUGGUGGAUCAAACCUGAAUUGAGUUUACAUUACAUUGAAAAGAAGCUAAGUCAAGAAAAGGCCAUGGUGGUGAUAAGUUUCUCUUGCUCUAUCCCAUUAGCUGCUAAUUUAUGAAAUAUUCUUAGGUUGACAUAUAUUGUAGACAAUUAUUGUGGAAAUACAAGGAGUACAAUAGCCAUAAAAUGUACGAGGGCAGAGGAGUAUAUGUGGCCCAGGUGGAUGGUAUUUUAUAUUGUUCAAUAAACAUCAGUUGAAGUGUC